GCAACCCGCCUGCAUGGAGUUGGAAUCGCUAGUAAUCGCGGAUCAGCAUGCCGCGGUGAAUACGUUCCCGGGCCUUGUACACACCGCCCGUCACACCAUGAGAGUCGGGAACACCCGAAGUCCGUAGCCUGACCGCAAGGGGGGCGCGGCCGAAGGUGGGUUCGAUAAUUGGGGUGAAGUCGUAACAAGGUAUC
rnacentral:rRNA from 1 species